AGCAGAUUGAUGAUGAAACAAUUUCUCCAAGCGUUUGUUACGCUGACAUCCAUAUAUGAUGGAGGGCUAUGUUACCAUAGCCUUCAUAGUUUUCAAUCUGAACCAUCU
rfam:Oryza meridionalis cultivar OR44 (W2112) chromosome 8, whole genome shotgun sequence.